UACGGAGGGUGCGAGCGUUAUUCGGAAUUACUGGGCGUAAAGCGUGCGUAGACGGCUAUCUAAGUCGGGUGUGAAAGCCCCGGGCUCAACCUGGGAAUUGCAUUCGAGACUGAAUAGCUAGGGUACGGUAGAGGGAAGUGGAAUUUCCGGUGUAGCGGUGAAAUGCGUAGAUAUCGGAAGGAACAUCAGUGGCGAAAGCGACUUCCUGGACCAGUACCGACGUUCAGGCACGAAAGCGUGGGGAGCAAACAGG
rnacentral:rRNA from 1 species